ensembl:lncRNA TPT1-AS1 TPT1 antisense RNA 1
GAGGUGCGCGCGCAGCGUGGGAGGAGGCCAACUCUCGGGGCGCUCCCUAGCCCUGGGUGGGUGGAGCGGGGGAAGCGGAGUACGUUGGACCCGGCUCCGCCCUACCCCACGGGGCCGCCUGGAGAGGUGCUGGGAGCUGGGUGGAGCUUAGAGGAAUUAAACUUUGGCCCUGCGCCUCGUCCAGCCUAGGUUCCACCCUUUUCUGGGAACUUUACACCCCGCCACUCCUGAGCACCGCACACCGGCUUCCUCCCAGUCCCUCAUCUGAGAACUCAUGAAGCCACUUGGAAUCCCUCUCUGCUUUGCCUGGCUCAUUCCAUGUCAAUUUCAGAUCUUCACUUCAGGUCAGCUCCAAGGAGGCUAUCCUUGCCCAUCUUCCUAAAAUAGAGCUCUCAAAACCUGGCUGUUUUCCUUCAGAGCACUGGCCUCCAAUUGCUCCGGUAGAUUGCAAAUGACCUGCUUUCUUUCUGUUCCCGGGCGUUUGGACCCCUGUCUUGGACCGCUGUCGGAUAGUAAAUCCCAAGUAAGGUACCUGCCGUCGGCAGAUUUGAGCUUUCUUCUUGGACACCUAAUACCCAGAGUCCUCCAGGCUCCGGUAGAUUGCAAAUGACCUGCUUUCUUUCUGUUCCCGGGCGGCAUCGGACCCGUCGGAGAGUAAAUCCCAAGUAAGGUACCUGCCGUUGGCAGAUUUGAGCUUUCUUCUUGGACACCUAAUACCCACAGUCCUCCAGGCUCCGGUAGAUUGCAAAUGACCUGCUUUCUUUCUGUUCCCGGGUGGCAUCGACCCGUCGGAGAGUAAAUCCCAAGUAAGGUACCUGCCGUUGGCAGAUUUGAGCUUUCUUCUUGGACACCUAAUACCCACAGUCCUCCAGUAAAUCCCAAGCAAGGUACCUGCCGUCAGCAGAUUUGAGCUUUCUUCUUGGACACCUAAUACCCACAGUCCUCCAAGCUCCGGUAGAUUGCAAAUGACCUGCUUUCUUUCUGUUCCCGGGCUGCGUUCGGACCCCUGUCGGAUAGUAACUCCCAAGUAAGGUACCUGCCGUCGGCAGAUUGGAGCUUUCUUCUUGGAGACCUAAUACCCACAGUCCUCCAGAAAAACAAACAAAGACAUGGAUUUACUGUGCAUAUUAGCAGAUCCAUACUGGAAAAUGCAUGGAGGUUUCAUAUACACCACUUACAGGUUUCCAAAGCCACAAUUUCCUUCAUAUGUUCAAACUCUUCAGGAUGCAGAAAGGCAGUGAACUCCUCCGGAGUAGCUGUCAGGUCACCAUUGAGGUCUGCAGCUUUGAAUCUUCUCUCAUCACGUGGCAGCAUCUUUUUAAAGGUGUGAUGAUCUGAAGAAUCAUGAAACUCUGCGGGGUUUCCUAGGUUUUCAGCUCCUCAGUAGUGACAAAGCCAUACCCAUCAUUGUCGAUUCGAUCAACAAUCUUCCCUAGCCUCUCCUUGCUCUCGUCCGGGGUGAGCUCGUCGAAGUUCUUGGAGUCCUCCUUGCCCAGGAAGGCCUCGUGGUCGUACUGGAAGCUCUGGUUGUCCUCAGGGGGCCGCUCGCCCAGCUCCGAGUCGGGCCGCACCACGCGCUCUUUGCGCACCGUGGGCUUGGCCCGCAGAACCCGCGGCGCCAGCACCAGCGCCAGCAGCAGCCCCAGGGCUAACCCCAGGCGGCCACCGCGCGCCAUCGUCCCGAGGAGAGGGCGGCCGGGAGGGAGACGCUGAGCGAGCGACAACAGCGGCAGCUCGGGAAUGGGGGCUCGGAGCGCGGCGGCCAAGUUUUAUGUUAUGUAUAUUUUACAAGUAAAAAAAUUUUUUCACCUCAGCCUGAACUGAACACUAGCUGACAGACGUUUUGAUUUCUUUGACCAUCACGGAAUCGUGGCCAAGCGCGGUGGCUCACAUCUGUAAUCCCAACACUUUGGGAGGUCAAGAUGGGCGGAUUGCUUGAAUCCAGGUGUUUGAGAUCAGCCUGGGCAACAUGACAAAACCCUGUUUCUAGUAAAAAUACAAAAAUUAACCAGGCUCAAGCCAUGACCAUGC